GGUUAAGCGACUAAGCGUACACGGUGGAUGCCCUGGCAGUCAGAGGCGAUGAAGGACGUGCUAAUCUGCGAAAAGCGUCGGUAAGGUGAUAUGAACCGUUACAGCCGGCGAUGUCCGAAUGGGGAAACCCAGUGCAAUUCGUUGCACUAUCGUUUGAUGAAUACAUAGUCAAACGAGGCGAACCGGGGGAACUGAAACAUCUAAGUACCCCGAGGAAAAGAAAUCAACCGAGAUUCCCCCAGUAGCGGCGAGCGAACGGGGAGCAGCCCGGAGUCUGAAUCAGCUUGUGUGUUAGUGGAAGCGUCUGGAAAGUCGCAGGGUACAGGGUGAUACUCCCGUACACUAAAACACACAGGCUGUGAACUCGAAGAGUAGGGCGGGACACGUGGUAUCCUGUCUGAAUAUGGGGGGACCAUCCUCCAAGGCUAAAUACUCCUGACUGACCGAUAGUG
rnacentral:rRNA from 1 species